rnacentral:lncRNA from 1 species
AGUGAUAACUGCCUUGCUGGGGUGAAUGCCUACAUGGACAGUUGUGCCAUUGGCCUUUUCCUGCUGCACCCAUUCAAUGUAGAUGACAUAUUUCUUCCUGUAAACCUGGACUACUGUACCAAUUUGCUGACCUUUAUAGUGUCCUCGUACAACCUGAACUUCAUUAUCCUUUCGGUUAGGCAUGGAUUGAACAUUGAUAUGGGCAUUUAGUGCUAUAAACUUCCCUCUUAACACGGCCUUAGCUGUGUCCCAGAGAUUAUGGUACAUUGUAUCUUUGUUCUCAUUAGUUUCAAAGAACUUCUUGCCA